AUGUCUGUGAUGCUUCAGUGGCUGGGGCAGGCAUUGCUCAGCACAGUGAAUCAGCUCCUGGAGCCUGCCCCGGCUCCUUUCCUGGCUCCCUUCCUGCCGGGAACGCUCCCAGAGCUGCCCAUGGGUCUUCUCACCCAGGAACGCUCCCAGAGCAGCCCCUGGCUCUGCCCUCACCCAGGAACACUCCCAGAGCAGCCCCUGGCUCUGCCCUCACCCAGGAACACUCCCAGAGCAGCCCCUGGCUCUGCCCUCACCCAGGAACACUCCCAGAGCAGCCCCUGGCUCUGCCCUCACCCAGGAACACUCCCAGAGCAGCCCCUGGCUCUGCCCUCACCCAGGAACACUCCCAGAGCAGCCCCUGGCUCUGCCCUCACCCAGGAACACUCCCAGAGCUGCUCCUGGCUCCCUUCUGGAGCUGCCCCUGGCUCCUCUCAUCCCAGGAACGCUCCCAGAGCUGCUCCUGGCUGUGCCCUCACCCAGGAACUCUCCUGGAGCUGCCCCUGGUUCUGCCCUCCUGGUCAUCCUCUCUUGGAGCUGCCGCGGGCUCUGCCCUCCCAGAGGCUGCCCCUGUUUCUGCCUUCACCCAGGAAUGCUCCCAGCCCUGCCCUGCCUGUCCCCUCCCGGCCCUGCCCCUGGCCCCCUCACCCUGAAACGCUCCUGGCCCCACAGCCCCAGCAGCUGUGGGGGUUGUGCUGCCCUUCUGCCCUGGGUUUGUUAUUUUUUAUUAAAACUGUGAGUGUCCCGGUAGGAAAAAGGCUGAGUGUUCCCAAAGGCAGGAGCUGUUGUGCUGAGGGCAGGGAAUUCCCAUAUCAGGAAUUGGGGUGUGGGGUGGGCAGGAGCAGCCACAGAGGGAAUUCCCAUAGCAGGAAUUGGGGUGUGGGGUGGGCAGGAGCACCCACAGUGGGUGCUGAGGGAAUUCCCAAGCAGGAAUUGGGGUGUGGGGUGGGCAGGAGCACCCACAGUGGGUGCUAGCAAAUUGGGGUGAGGAUGGGUAGGAGCAGCCACAGAGGGAAUUCCCAUAUAGAAUUGGGGUGUGGGGUGGGCAGGGACACACACAGAGGGAAUUCCCAAGCAGGAAUUGGGGUGUGGGGUGGGCAGGAGCAGCCACAGAGGGAAUUCCCAUAUCAGGAAUUGGGGUGUGGGGUGGGGAGGAGCAGCCACAGAGGGAUGUCCAUAUCAGGAAGGGGGGUGGGUGGGCAGGAGCACCCACAGUGGGUGCUGAGGGAAUUCCCAAGCAGGAAUUGGGGUGUGGGGUGGGCAGGAGCAGCCACAGAGGGAAUUCCCAAGCAGGAAUUGGGGUGUGGGGUGGGCAGGAGCAGCCACAGAGGGAAUUCCCAAUCAGGAAUUGGGGUGUGGGGGGCAGGAGCACCCACAGUGGUGCUAGGGAACCCCAAGCAGGAAGGUGGGGGUAGGAUGGGUAGGAGCAGCCACAGAGGGAA
rnacentral:lncRNA from 14 species